AAGCGCUUGCAAUCAGACUUGCACUUGGUGUUCAUCAGGGUCUCGUACCCUGUGUACUUCAUCAAGUUCAGGCCAGCAUCAGUUUGAGUGGUUAGAUAAAGGCUUAGAGAAUGUGGCCCUCUUCGGGGGGUGUUAUAGCUCU
rnacentral:rRNA from 1 species